AUUGAACGCUGGCGGCAUGCCUUACACAUGCAAGUCGAACGGUAACAGGUCUUCGGAUGCUGACGAGUGGCGAACGGGUGAGUAAUACAUCGGAACGUGCCUAGUAGUGGGGGAUAACUACUCGAAAGAGUGGCUAAUACCGCAUGAGAUCUACGGAUGAAAGCAGGGGAUCGCAAGACCUUGUGCUACUAGAGCGGCCGGUGGCAGAUUAGGUAGCUGGUGGGGUAAAAGCUUACCAAGCCGACGAUCUGUAGCUGGUCUGAGAGGACGAUCAGCCACACUGGGACUGAGACACGGCCCAGACUCCUCCGGGAGGCAGCAGUGGGGAAUUUUGGACAAUGGGCGAAAGCCUGAUCCAGCAAUGCCGCGUGCAGGAUGAAGGCCUUCGGGUUGUAAACUGCUUUGGUACGGAACGAAAAGCCCCGGGCUAAUACCCUGGGGUCAUGACGGGACCGUAAGAAUAAGCACCGGCUAACUACGUGCCAGCCGCCGCCGUAA
rnacentral:rRNA from 1 species